rnacentral:rRNA from 1 species
CAGUCGCCGCGGUAAUACGGAGGGGGCUAGCGUUGUUCGGAAUUACUGGGCGUAAAGCGCACGUAGGCGGCUUGGUAAGUUAGAGGUGAAAGCCCGGAGCUCAACUCCGGAACUGCCUUUGAGACCGCAUCACUUGAACGUCGGAGAGGUGAGUGGAAUUCCGAGUGUAGAGGUGAAAUUCGUAGAUAUUCGGAAGAACACCAGUGGCGAAGGCGGCUCACUGGACGACUGUUGACGCUGAGGUGCGAAAGCGUGGGGAGCAAACAGGAUUAGAUACCCCUGUAGUCCCUGUCUCUUAUAC